GACGAACGCUGGCGGCGUGCUUAACACAUGCAAGUCGAACGGAAAGGCCCUGCUUUUGUGGGGUGCUCGAGUGGCACACGGGUGUGUAACACGAGAGAACUCUGCCUUUAACUUUGGGAUAACUUGAGGACACUGGGUCAUAUCCCGUAUAGGCGCCCACGCCGCAUGGGGGGGGUUGGAAAGUUACGGCGGUUGGGGAUGGACUCGCGGCUUAUCAGCUUGUUGGUGGGGUAGUGGCUUACCAAGGCUUUGACGGGUAGCCGGCCUGAGAGGGUGACCGGCCACAUUGGGACUGAGAUACGGCCCAGACUCCUACGGGAGGCAGCAGUGGGGAAUAUUGCACAAUGGGCGGAAGCCUGAUGCAGCAACGCCGCGUGCGGGAUGACGGCCUUCGGGUUGUAAACCGCUUUCGCCUGUGACGAAGCGUGAGUGACGGUAAUGGGUAAAGAAGCACCGGCUAACUACGUG
rnacentral:rRNA from 1 species